rnacentral:tRNA from 1 species
AUUGAGAUGGCAGAGCCGGGUACAUAAUGCAAAAGGCCUAAGCCCUUUAUUCAGGGGUUCAACUCCCCUUCUCAGUU